CGUGUAGGCGGCCAGGUAGGUGGGUUGUGAAAACUGGAGGCUCAACCUUCAGACGUCGACCCAAACCCCCUGGCUAGAGUCCGGAAGAGGAGAGUGGAAUUCCUGGUGUAGCGGUGAAAUGCGCAGAUAUCAGGAAGAACACCCGGUGGCGAAGGCGGCUCUCUGGGACGGUACUGACGCUGAGACGCGAAAGCGGUGGGGAGCGAACA
rnacentral:rRNA from 1 species